UUUUUCCGUCACUCUGGUAACUUUGCAUGCAAAUCUAUGUCUCUGAUCACAAUAUGAAUUAGUGAAGUGCAUGGACAAUUCUUCUCCAGGCUCAUGCUGGGAACCUCUUACCCACCAGCUGAGCUUUCCAAAUGGAUUGAUAUGAUCGAUAGGAUUCUCCUUCACUGAAUGAGAGCUGCAGCGAGGUCACACUUUUAUUGAAAGCGACCUACAAAUAUGAGAUGCAAGGAGAAACCGUAAACCAACUUCCAUCUGUACCACUGCACAGGACGAAUCUGCUGAUAAUAAAUUGAAGGGCACUGUCACCACCUCCUGUGCGGGUCAUUAAGAAGCAGCCGCUGUCACCUGUCACCAGCCGAUGUCAGUCCUAGCGAUGAUGAGCAGCUAUUAUUUUUUAGAAAUAUCGCCUAUUAUUUUUAUGUUUUGAUGGGAUAACAAGCUCC